UGGGGAAUAUUGGACAAUGGGCGCAAGCCUGAUCCAGCCAUGCCGCGUGAGUGAUGAAGGCCUUAGGGUUGUAAAGCUCUUUCGCCAGGGACGAUAAUGACGGUACCUGGAUAAGAAGCCCCGGCUAACUUCGUGCCAGCAGCCGCGGUAAUACGAAGGGGGCUAGCGUUGUUCGGAAUUACUGGGCGUAAAGCGUAUGCAGGCGGACUUUUAAGUCGGGGGUGAAAUCCCGAGGCUCAACCUCGGAACUGCCUUCGAUACUGGAAGUCUUGAGUCCGGGAGAGGUGAGCGGAACUCCGAGUGUAGAGGUGAAAUUCGUAGAUAUUCGGAAGAACACCAGUGGCGAAGGCGGCUCACUGGCCCGGUACUGACGCUGAGAUACGAAAGCGUGGGGAGCAAA
rnacentral:rRNA from 1 species